ensembl:lincRNA
AUGGCAUCUUGUGGUCUGCUACUUUUGGGUUAUUCUUCAGCUCUUCACAGUCUGCCUGGACCCAGAGGGCGGCCUUGUCUUGGUCCUCACAGACUGGACCAGGCUGGUUCACCCACCCAUUCACAUCAAGACUGGAGAGGAAAGGCCUUCCUUGCUCCUCUGGAUCAGUACAGUUUCUUCUCAUUUUGUGACCAAGGGUGGCCCCAAGGACUAGCAGGUCUCGCAGCCCUUCCAAGUCUGACACUGCCCAGGAGCCUCCACAGCCUCACUGCUAAGGGCUUCUGCGGCAGAACAGGCGAAGAAACCCCGCAGGUCCUGAAAGGGGCCUCACAGAAACUGCACGGGCUCUCACUAAUGGAGGAAAUGAAAGAAAACAGUAAGAAACAGAGGGAUGCAAGUUCUCAAACUCAUGUAGCUAAAACAAAAAAUAUUUACUGAAACUAAAUUUUUUUAACUUUUUUUUUUUAAUUUUAGUUUUUUAUUUUUUAAAUUUUAAAAUCUUUAAUUCUUACAUGCAUUCCCAACUUUUAUUCACACAUUUUUUUCUUUCAGUUUUGAGAUACAAUUGACAUUUUUUAAAAGCUUUAAAAUUUGAUAACUAACUGAAAGGGAAUAUUCACUGCCAAGAACAAAAUAAGUAGUCUGUAACAGGAGUUGGCAAACCUCCUGUAAAGGUCAAAUUAGUAAAUAUUUUUGACUUUGUGAGCCAUAUGGUCUCGGUUGAAAUUGCCCAACUUUGCCAUCAUAGCAUGAGGGCAGCCAUAGAUAAUACAUAAGUGGGCCUGGCUGUGUUCCAAUACAAAUUUAUUUAUAGAAACAGGCAGCAGAGUGGUUCUGGCGAGCAAUUUGAAGUGUAGAUCCUUGGUCUAGAAGGUCAAAUAAAAAAUCUAUCACAACACAGGAGAAAAAAUGAAACAGAAAUAGAUCCAGAUACAAAAAAGAACAGUAAUUCCUCUAUUCUAACCUUUUAACCUUUUAAAAAUAAAAACCAAUUCCAUACAUGGUAGCAGCAACAGUUAUAAAACCCAGAAAGGAAACUGAUAAAUAUUAAUUAUACAUUUUAAAAUUAAUAUUUAAACUUUAAGUAACAUAUAAAAUUUCAAUCCAAAUGCCAACAUAGAUUUUAGAAGAAAUGGAAACAACUAUUUUAAAGUUCUUAUGGAAUAGGACAUCAGAAUUGCCCCCCAAACACUGCAAAAUAAAGAAUAGUGAGGGGAGAUUUUCCCCACCAGAUAUAACCACAUUAUAAAUGACAUGCCCAUGAAGCCUGCCCUGCCUAUAGCGUAACUAGGAGAUGGAGCAGACAAGAAGCUUCAGCUGGUGCACAGGGAAGGAAACGAACAUGUGAAAGUUGCAGAAACCGUGCCAGAGGACAGAGUCUGGUAGUCACAUCUGCUUCUAGUAGCAGAACAGAUGAAAACUACCUCCAGAAGGAGCAUCCCCUCCUGAAUGUGGAAAUACUGAAAGCAAGUCUGAUGCUUGGGCACCAGGGAAAUGAGGGGAAAGGACUGGGAAGUCAGCGGGAGUAAAGACGGGGGUCUUAGAGACAUCACUUCUGGAGGAAGGGAGGUGACCUGGAGAGCCAUAUCCCCUGGAUGCUGGAUGAUGAGGAGAAAAAAAGAAGCAGGCAACAGAAAUUAAGGGUCCCUUGAGAACAAAAGAGAGUCACAAAAUCAGAAGACACAUCCACACCUCCCUCUCUCCCCCAAAGGCACCAUAUAUUAAAGAAAUGUCUCUUCGCUGUACCAUGAAGACACACACAAACUGAGAAACCCAGCGGGCUCUCACCACUGCCUGCACAGCAUCACCAGCGACUGCUGGGCACAGCCACGUAAGCAUAAGACAUUUCAGGAGAAAGAGAACACGGCAGGCACACGUGAGAUCGGCUGAUGCGAAAGAAUUUCUAGUGAUGAAAAGAAAUUAAUUCCAGCUAUGAUUCUUUUCAAGUUACACUGAAUGUUCCAACCGUUAUUUAACUGUCUUUCAGAAGUAGAAAGUAGACACAAAAGAAAAACAAAACAAGAAACCUCAAAUAAUAAAGGUAGAUUAGUUCCUUUCUGAAAAAGGCAGGAGGAGGCUAAGUGCAUCAUUACACACCUGGCUCUUUGGCGGGGGGGUGGGGGGGAUUGCUAUAACAAUACAGUGAGCAAAGAAAAGAGGCGGUGAAAAAUCCAUUAGAGAUAGAAAUCUCAAAAGAACACCAAACUAUCGUUCUUCUGAGCAAUUAUUUCAAUCUUUUUAAUGACUGAAUUCUCUAAAUUGGAAAGCACUUAUUCAAAUAGUUCUGAGAUCUUUUCCAUCUACUUUUGAGACAGUUUUUCACUGUGAUUCUUUCCUGAACACAAUUCCUAUUUACUUUUAAAAUUAAGAGAUAUGCAAUGUCCAAGGUGUCUCUCAAUUUCUAAAAACUUAACACUUGAAGUUCUUUCAGGGAGUUCCAUCAUAUAUAAUCCAUUUGUUAACCAACGGGAUUCUUUUGGAGCUAUAAUUACAAUAGAUAAGGAAAGGAUUUGAAAGGAUUUACACUGUAAAACUCUUCAAGUAAAGACAGAAUCAUAUAGCUCACUCUACUUAUUGAUUCCAAACAAAUUCCCAAUGCCAUAAUUGUUUUUGGCAACACAUUAGGUGACAUUAAUGAAAAGAAUAUGAUGGCAUACUUCUACUGAUGGUAACUAAGACACGCAAAAUAUAGAAUACUUGAACUUCAUUACAGUCCUUUUUAUUAAUACAAUUAUAUUAAAUCCAUCCAUUAGAAGUUUGGCAUAUGUCAAUUUAGAUAAGGGGAAAAUAUUGUCUUUUCCUGUUAUGUACUGUGUGACCAAUGAUAUUAUGAUAUCAGGACUGCCAUUCUUGUAAGGUUCAACAUCAAAUUUCAUAUCAGGUCUGCGCAAUUAAAAUAGCAGAUGUCCUCAAGUUUUUCCUCCAAAACUUUUGCUCUAGUCUUUCCAACCAUUUUGGAGGGUGAUCUCAAAUGAAAACCAUUAAAAUAUAACUGUUAACUGUAAGCUGCCUUUAUUUGUUUCAAAUGAAUAAAAUAAAUGUAUACAUGGAGCAAGCUUCAAUUUCUUUUUUUCUCAUUGUUGGAAGAUUUCUACAAGAAGAAGAAUGAAAAUGUUACUAUUUUGACUGGUUUUUCCCAAUCAUCUUUGAAGACUUAGGCUUCAGAGAUAGUAAUCUGGAAUCUGAAGACGUGAAGGAUGUGUCUUCUCAACACCCAAAAAUGAUGUGUUGAGAAAAAUAUAUAAUCAACAACAAACAAUACCUCUCACAGUCAAUUAUUUUUCUCUCCAGCCUCACUUGUAUUAACAAUCCAUCAGUAAUGCUGAAGAAGCUGAAGUUGAAGGGAUCUAUGAAGACCUUCUAGAACUAACACCCCAAAAUGAUGUUCUUUUCAUUAUAGGGGACUGGAAUGCAAAAGCAGGAAGUCAAGAGAUACCUGGAGUAACAAGCAAAUUUGGCCUUGGAGUACAGAAUGAAGCAGGAAAAAGGCUAACAAAGUUUUGCCAAGAGAACGCACUGGUCAUAGCACCCUCUUCCAACAACACAAGAGAAGACUCUACACAUGGAUAUCAUCAGAUGGUCAAUACUGAAAUCAGAUUGAUUAUAUUCUUCUCAGCCAAAGUUGAAGAAGCUCUAUACAGUCAGCAAAACAAAGACUGGGAGCUGACUGUGGCUCAGAACAUGAACUCCGUAUUGCCAAAUUCAGACUUAAAUUGAAGAAAGUAGGGAAAACCACUAGACCAUUCAGGUAUGACCUAAAUCAAAUCCCUUAUGAGUAUACAGUGGAAGUGAGAAGUAAAUUUAAGGGACUAAAUCUGAUAGGUGCCUGAUGAACAAUGGAAUGAGGUUCAUGACAUUGUACAGGAGACAGGGAUCAAGACCAUCCCCAUGGAAAAGUAAUGCAGAAAAGCAAAAUGGCUAUCUGGGGCCAUUUUGUAAUGAGGCCUUACAAAUAGCUGUGAAAAGAAAAGAAGUGAAAAGCAAAGGAGAAAAGGAAAGAUAUAAGCAUCUGAAUGCAGAGUUCCAAAGAAUAGCAAG